rnacentral:tRNA from 1 species
GCAUCGGUGGUUCACUGGUAGAACUCUCACCUUUCAUGCAGGAGAUCUGGGUUCAAUUCCCAGCCAAUGCA